rnacentral:rRNA from 1 species
UACGGGGGGGGCAAGCGUUGUUCGGAAUUACUGGGCGUAAAGGGCUCGUAGGUUGCCAACUAAGUCAGACGUGAAAUCCCCAGGCUCAACCUGGGAACUGCGUCUGAUACUGGAUGGCUUGAAUCCGGGAGAGGGAUGCAGAAUUCCAGGUGUAGCGGUGAAAUGCGUAGAUAUCUGGAGGAAUACCGGUGGCGAAGGCGGCAUCCUGGACCGGCAUUGACGCUGAUGUGCGAAAGCGUGGGGAGCAAACAGG